CGGGGCCGGGCCGGGGGCCGGGCCGGAGCCUUUCCCCGGCCAUGGCGGCGAGGGCGGGCCCGGAAGGGGAGCAGCCGCCGCCCGCCUCACUUCCCUGGCUGUCGGGCGGGGCGGCAGCGUGGGCAGUGGGCACCAUGCUGCAGUUCUUGCUUGGUUUUACUCUUGGCAAUGUGGUUGGGAUGUAUCUGGCUCAGAACUAUGAUAUUCCUAACAUUGCAAAGAAGUUGGAAGAUUUUAAGAAGGAUGUGGAAGCCAAGAAGAAACCUCCUAAUGACAAGUCCUGAAAGAGCAAUGUUUCCCAGGUCAAUUCUGUGUGUGCACCAAGGAUGCAAUUUACCUUUCAGGCAGCAAAGGAACCACUCCAAGAAACUCUGACAGGGAGAAACGGUUGUACCACCUGAACCCAGCUAUCAGAAGCCCUGUGGUAGCAGCAUGUGUGGAAGAUAUCCAAAGAGAUUUCCAUUAUCUUCAGACUUCAGACCUGACUGAGAAUUUUCUUCCAUGCCCAGAAAUGUUUCCCUAGAGUGAUAGUGCUGCACAGCUGUUUUGAUGUUUUCAUGAACAUGAUGAACUUAAGUUUCCCUCAACUUCCUCUCCCUCCCCUUCGUUUCCUAUUCUUGAGCAUUGAAAAACACUGUCUCUAGCCCAUUCAUUUUUCUUUGCUGGCUAUGUAAAAUUAUAUUAGUGUUUAAAAUUGGAUUAUUUCUUUGCUCAAACGUACUUUAUUGUUCUUCCCUUUCUUUACAUGGGGAUGAGAAGUGAGAUAAUGUUAAAAAUCUCUGUAUUUGUUGCCAAGCAUGCCAGAUACUCUAAAAGUGUUUUUGGAGCUUUUCAGCUAAGCAUUCCAAGCAGAUGUUAGAAUUGUUUUUUUUGGUUUUUUUUUUUUUUUUCCUAGCAUAUUAGUAAGUGAAAAGCUGCAGAUGUAAUGCUGUGGAAACAAUAUAUGCUCAUUAGUAUUAAAGACAGGAUUUCUGAGGUGUUUCA